CCCAGUUGUACUUAAUUCUUGAACGUCACAGGGCCUUUGCAGGAUCUUCAGUCAACUGUGUUGUAACAAUACGGGAGACUCCCCAUUACAGCAGUUUGAAUAAUGGAAAUUUGCCCUUACACAGUUCACAAAUCACUGCCAAAAUAUCUGGGAUGCAGAAUAGAAAUCAUUCGUAUAAAACAUAUGUGAAGUGCUGCCUGACAUGUUGAACUCCUCCAGUAUUUUGUGUGUGUUCCUUUGGAUUUUCAGCACUACGGAACCUCUAGUGUGUACUAAUGCACUCUGUGUGUUUAGUGUAUGUGGUGAUGAAUUAGUUACACACAAUGCCCAGCUUCUGACCUUCUCAAGAGGUUUGGAUUUCACGUGUUUUGCCUAACACUGACCUUAAACAUAGUGGGGAGGAGUUUAUUUUCUUUCUUGUUGGAAACAGUUAUCUUCAGACACUUAUCUGGCAUGAAUGAUACUUGCCCAGCAAUCUGCCUGUAUAUUUUGAACUCUUGAUGUAAAUGAACAUGCACUGGUAAAUUUUCAAAUGAAUUCUGAAUGAAUAAACAUUA